rnacentral:rRNA from 1 species
GAGCGGAUGAAGGGAGCUUGCUCCUGGAUUCAGCGGCGGACGGGUGAGUAAUGCCUAGGAAUCUGCCUGGUAGUGGGGGACAACGUUUCGAAAGGAACGCUAAUACCGCAUACGUCCUACGGGAGAAAGCAGGGGACCUUCGGGCCUUGCGCUAUCAUAUGAGCCUAGGUCGGAUUAGCUAGUUGGUGAGGUAAUGGCUCACCAAGGCGACGAUCCGUAACUGGUCUGAGAGGAUGAUCAGUCACACUGGAACUGAGACACGGUCCAGACUCCUACGGGAGGCAGCAGUGGGGAAUAUUGGACAAUGGGCGAAAGCCUGAUCCAGCCAUGCCGCGUGUGUGAAGAAGGUCUUCGGAUUGUAAAGCACUUUAAGUUGGGAGGAAGGGUUGUAGAUUAAUACUCUGCAAUUUUGACGUUACCGACAGAAUAAGCACCGGCUAACUCUGUG